GGUGGACAGAGACUUCGGGAGGUGGACAGAGACUUCGGGAGGUGGACAGAGACUUCGGGAGGUGGACAGAGGCUUCGGGAGGUGGACAGAGGCUUCGGGAGGUGGACAGAGGCUUCGGGAGGUGGACAGAGGCUUCGGGAGGUGGACAGAGACUUCAGGAGGUGGACAGAGAUUUCGGGAGGUGGACAGAGACUUCAGGAGGUGUGUCUUAUGUAUGUAAAAAAGACCAAAAUUAGAUAGUGCGCCUU